ACUCCUACGGGAGGCAGCAGUGGGGAAUCUUCCGCAAUGGACGAAAGUCUGACGGAGCAACGCCGCGUGAGUGAAGAAGGUUUUCGGAUCGUAAAACUCUGUUUUCAGGGACGAAUGUGCACAGUGUAAAUAAUGCUGUGUAAUGACGGUACCUGAGUAGAAAGCCACGGCUAACUACGUGCCAGCAGCCGCGGUAAUACGUAGGUGGCAAGCGUUGUCCGGAAUUAUUGGGCGUAAAGCGCGCGCAGGUGGGAUAUUAAGUCUGGUGUUAAAGUUCGGGGCUCAACCCCGUGAAGCAUUUGGAAACUGAUAUUCUUGAGUGCAGGAGAGGAAAGUGGAAUUCCUAGUGUAGCGGUGAAAUGCGUAGAUAUUAGGAGGAACCCCAGUGGCGAAGGCGACUUUCUGGACUGUGUCUGACACUGAGGCGCGAAAGCCAGGGUAGUGAACGGGAUUAGAUACCCCGGUAAUCCUGGCCGUAAACGAUGGGUACUAGGUGUUGGGGGUAUCGACCCCUCCAGUGCCGGAGUUAACGCAAUAAGUACCCCGCCUGGGGAGUACGG
rnacentral:rRNA from 1 species